ACCGCUGGGUAGUUGGAGUCGGUGUAACUGCGGACCCCCCGAUAACUGACAGUUCACCGUGAAGAAGAAUAAAACAAAAACAAAGUGUAUCGAGAUAGUGCAGGAAAUUUGGAAUUUAUACUAAAAUAAUUAAAAGUUCAGUGUAAGGGAAUGAUCGGUUGAAUUUAGGGAAUCUAUUUACGCAAUUUAACCCGUAAGUAAAAAUAGAAUUUCAAUUGAUGAGAGUUUGGACAGCAUAAAAUAACGAACUUGCUCUUGCCUAGUUCGUAUCACACGAGGACUGAGGACCCAAGGCGCAGACAUUACAUCGUAUUGCUUUGUACGGGUAUAAUUUGUAAGUAUCUGGAAGAAGACAAAGGAAAAUUACUAAUUGAAGAUUGAAAAUACAGGAAGAAGAAGAGGAAAGGAUCAGAAAGUAUCAAGGAGAAUUCAGGAAGGAUCGAAGUCGUAAGGAAGGAGGAAACUAUUAGAGUGAGUAGAUUUAGUGCAAAUUAUAAAUCUGUAGCAAUUAAGAAAAUAAUGGCAAUAUAUUUUAGUUUUUGAGCUGCUCCGAAUAGCUGCUGCAAAAUAAAUAGUGUACUCGAACAAUCUCAAAAAUCUAAUACAGAGAUUUCGGUACCCUCUAUCACGAUGAGCGAGAGAUCCCUGGACCUAACGACGACGGCGUGUGUGGAGUGUGGAAAAACGUCCACACGGGAUGAAAAGAUGAUUGCCUGUGACAGCUGUGAUUGCUGGUUUCACAUACGUUGUGUGGGAUUAACAACGGUACCGAAAAAAGACAAGAAAUGGUUCUGUAAGGAGAUUACCUGUGAACGCGUCUUCCAGGAAUACCAGAAACAGAAAAAAGCGUCUCGUACAAAGAAAAUUGCGGAAGAAUAUGACAAAUUGAGCACCAAAUCGACGGAUAAUCGUCAACCGUUGCCCGUACCCGCUGCCGUGGAAGAAAAGUUAGAAGCGAUGGAGAUAGAAAAUCAACGUUUGGAAGAAGAGAUGGAUGCGGAGAUGCUGUUGAAGGAAAAGGAAAUGGAGAUGAAAAAUGCGUUGAAAAUAAGAAGAAUGCGAAUAGAGCAAGCGUUGCGUGAAAGAGAAUUGGAAAAUGAUCGACUGUUGCGCGAACAAGAGAUUGAAAAAAAGGAACUCGAACUUCAGCAAGAAUUGCGGGAAAAGGAAGAGCAUCUGGUCCGCAUGAAGGAAAUGGAAAGAGCGUAUCGCGAGAAAAUGUCCAGUGUUGACAGAGAACUACAGAAAGCAGAAAUCGUUGACAGUAAAAAUAAGGAGGGACAAUUGGAAACGACCAAAACAAAUAGGGAACCCAAUUCGUCCAAGCCAUCGGUUAUUGGUAAGUUGACGGAAGGGAACCUAGAACGCCUCGUGAAAUAUAAGGAAACCAGCGAAGAAGAUGAGUGCUCAAGCAGCAGCGAUGACGAUUCGAGCGUCAAUGGCAAGGACGCUAGAGAUAAUGCCAGUGUUGCUCCAAGCAGACAGCAACGUGUCGGACCGAGUAGGGUGCAACUAGCUGCAAGAAGUGGCCUAACAAAGAAGCUUCCUACUUUCUCGGGGAAGCCUGAAGAAUGGCCUCUUUUCUUCGGAGCUUCUCAAGCAUCGAACGAAGCUUGUGGUUAUACGGAUGUCGAGAAUUUGGUGAGGCUCCAAGACAGCCUGAAAGGUGUAGCUCUGGAUGCUGUUCGGGGACAGCUUUUACUUCCGAGGUCAGUCCCAAGAGUAAUCGCGAAGUUCCGUCAGCUCUACGGUCGCCCCGAACAACUCUUACAAAGCCAUCUAGACAAGGUGCGAAAACUUGAACCGCCAAGAGCUGACAGGCUAGCCAGUUUCAUCCCAUUUGGAAACGCGGUAGAACAGCUUUGCGAGCAUCUUGAAGCAGCGGAGCUUACACUGCACCUAGUGAAUCCGAUUCUGAUCCAGGAUUUGGUCAACAAGCUCCCAGAUGGAGAAAAGCGCCAGUGGGUGCAGUAUAAGAGAAAAAAGGAAAUAGUAACACUGCGUACCUUUACCGACUUCGUCUCCAGAAUCGUGGCAGAUGCAUGUGAGGCAAAUGUCAACGUCGAUUACAAAUUAGAUACCAGGUCUACGGCCGACACAGCCGGAAGAAGCAAGCCGAAGGAAAAAGGCGCAGUAUAUAAUCACAGCGCGGUGAGUCAAUGGGAAUCCAAUGUGUUUGAACGCAAGAAACAAAAACCCUGCCGUGCAUGCCAGCGAGAAGAUCACCGUCUGCGGUUUUGCCAAGACUUCCGCGAUCUACCGCAUGCGGAUCGGAUGCGAAUUGUGACGAAAUGGAAACUCUGUAACAUUAGUCUCAAUGAUCACAGUGGUCAAUGUCGCUUCAAGAUUCGCUGCAACGUGGGUGAAUGUAGAGAACCGCACAAUCCACUAAUUCAUCCAAUAGGAAAUGUUGUAGGCAUGAGUGCAUACAUCAGAUCCGGCAGUUCCAUGAUGUUCCGGAUGAUCCCAGUGCAGAUUCAUUGUGGAGACAGAUCACUUACUGUUCUCGCUUUCCUGGAUGAAGGUGCAUCCGUGACGCUAAUUGAAAAUGAUCUGGCUGAACGGCUGCGACUCACAGGGGUGAGAGAGAAGCUGGACUUCUGACGUUUAUCGUGUUGAGAAAAAUUCAAGGCGAAUGAACGUGUGGACCUCAGCGGUGGGCGUUUGGGACUCGGAGAAGUUUUUAUUGCACACAGUUAACACUGUUGAAAAGCUGAUGUUGCCUCACCAAACGUUGGACGCUAAUGAGUUAUCGACACAGUACAAACACAUGCGCGAUCUACCAAUCGCAUCAUUCGAUGGUCGACCGGGUGUACUAAUCGGCCUUAACAACAUCCAUACUUUCGCCCCUUUGGAAGCAAGAAUUGGAACGACAAGGGAUCCGAUCGCUGUUCGCUGCAAGCUCGGUUGGACUGUAUAUGGACCGCGUCAAUUGAGUUCAACUUCUUCGGGCGGUUUUCUGGGGUAUCAUCAAGCAAUAUCUAAUGAAGAACUGCAUGAUAUCUUGAAGAGCCACUACUCGCUAGAAGAAUCAGUGGUUAAGGUGCAAGAAGAGUCGGCUGAGGAUCAACGAGCUCGAUUGAUCAUGGAGCGAACUACGAAACGAGUGGAAAAUCGUUUCGAGACGGGCCUACUCUGGAAAACGGAUGAGGUGAACUUCCCAGAUGGCUAUCCCAUGGCGUUGAAACGUCUGAAGCAGCUAAAUCACCAGAGGUGUAUCAAAAUGUUCGGCAGCAGAUAGCAGAAUUUCAAGAAAAAGAUUAUGCUCACUUAGCGACCGAAGAAGAAUUGACCGGUACCGGAAAAGAUAAAGCUUGGUAUCUUCCGUUAAAUGUAGUCAUAAAUCCGAAAAAGCCCGCUAAAGUUCGACUUAUUUGGGACGCGGCGGCAACCGUACAAGUGGUGUCGCUUAACACAAUGUUGCUGAAGGGGCCCGACUUACUCGCGCCUUUGGUAUCAGUGAUCAUCGGUUUUCGGGAGAGACGAAUCGCCUUUGGGGGAGACAUUCGAGAGAUGUACCAUCAACUAAAAAUUAUCUCAGAGGAUAAGCAAGCUCAACGCUUCCUUUUUCGGAAUGACAGCAGUGAGGCGCCAAAAGUAUAUGUGAUGGAUGUUGCUACCUUUGGUUCAACAUGCUCUCCAGCGUCGGCACAGUUCGUUAAAAAUCGUAAUGCGACAGAGUAUGCAAUACAGUAUCCUGAAGCAGCAGCAGCCAUCAUUGAUCGGCAUUACGUCGAUGACUAUUUCGACAGUGUCGAUACGAUCGAAGAGGCGAUAGAACGAGCACAGCAAGUGAAGUUUAUUCAUGAACAGGCUGGUUUUGAGAUGAGGAACUGGGUUUCGAAUUCUCCGGUGGUUUUAUCGGCUCUGGGCGAAAACAAAUCGUCGAGGUCGGUCGUUUUUUAGCAAAAUAAGCAGUCAUCCAGUGAGCGCGUGCUUGGAGUGUUCUGGGAUUUGAACCAAGAUGCGUUCGAGUUUUACGUUACUCACCGUGCAGAGAUUAAAGCGUAUUUGUUUGAAGAAAAGCGGCCGACAAAGCGGAUCGUUUUAAGCUGUGUCAUGGGGCUGUUUGACCCAUUGGGCCUGCUUUCGCCAUUCACGAUCCAUGGUAAAAUUCUCAUACAACAUCUCUGGCGAAAUGGAUGCGAAUGGGACCAAGAGAUCGAUGAACCAAAUUGGUGUUUGUGGAAACAGUGGACGGAGUUGCUGCCUAAAGUGGAAGCCCUACGCAUUCCGCGAUGCUAUUUGGGAGAUACUAUGUCUUCGUCGAUAGAGACGCUCGAGCUGCACAUAUUUACUGACGCGAGUGAAAACGCCUACGGUUGUGUUGCGUAUCUACGAUUGGUCGUUCAUGGAGCAGUGAAGUGUAGCCUGAUCAUGUCACGAGCCAAAGUCGCACCACUGAAGCGCCAGUCGAUCCCUAGGUUAGGAUUGAUGGCAGCAGUUCUGGGGGCCCGAAUGAGGCAAACUAUUAUGGAAACGCAUUCUUUGCGAAUCGAUCAAACCAUUCUGUGGACAGAUUCACGAACGGUACUGUCAUGGCUGCAGUCUGACCAGCAUAAAUUCAAGCAAUUUGUUGCGUUUAGAGUGGGUGAAAUUUUGGAAUUAACUCAUAUGCGAGACUGGAGAUGGGUGCCGACAAAGCAAAAUAUCGCAGAUGUGCUCACUAAGUGGGGUCGUAGUCCACCAUUACACAACGAAUCGGAAUGGGUCCACGGUCCCUCAGUACUGUAUCUACCGAGAGAGCAGUGGCCUUCUGCUGAAACAAUCGAGGAAACCUUAGAAGAAACUAGAGGCAUUAUGCUGUUUCACGCGGUGGUCGAAGCCGAAACUAUUUCCAGCUGGACGAAACUAGUACGCGUGGUGGCAACCGUUAUGCGCUUCAUCUCCAACUGUCGACGUAAAAGAAUUGGUUUGCCGAUAGUGACUUAUCAAUCAUCAGAGUACCACUGUCGGUUGAUCCAAGCGGAGUAUUCGACAAUCAAGAAACCCAAUCAUCCUAUCUGGAAAACAUAACAUCACGAAAAAGUUGAUCCUGCACUUUCACUACAAGUACGGCCACGCUAACAGAGAAACUGUAUUUAAUGAACUACGUCAAAAAUUUUGGAUCCCAAAGGCGCGUGCUGCUGUACUACAGGCGACGAGGGACUGCAUGUGGUGUAAAGUGAAUCGAUGUGUACCCUUUGUUCCAAUGAUGGCACCGCUACCUGUUCCACGUAUUACCCCUCACUUACGUCCUUUCAGUGCAGUGGCUGUUGACUAUCUAGGUCCGGUCGAAGUCACGGUGGGACGCAGAAAAGAUGGAUCGUCGUGUUCACCUGUAUGGCUAUGCGAGCGGUGCAUAUCGAUGUGGUGCACAGUUUGAGCACACAAUCCUGCCUAAUGGCCAUCAGGCGAUUCACUUGCAAGCGCGGAGCACCGGAGCAAAUAUUCUCUGAUAACGCUACGUGUUUUCGUGGAGCAAACGCAGCGACGACGAAGAUGAUUCAGAAGAUUAAUGAAGAAUGCAAGAAAGGUGAUAUCAACUGUUACUUCAUGGCACUUUAACCCUCCUGGAACUCCGCAUAUGGGUGGCAUCUGGGAACGGAUGGUGCGAUCCGUCAAAGAAGCUCUGAAAGAUUUAGAUGAUGGAUGGAAAUUAACAGACGAGAUCCUUUCAACGAGUCUAGCCGAAGCAGAAGACAUGAUUAAUACUCGUCCAUUAACAUAUGUUCCUCAGGAUGACGACGGCGAAGAAGCCAUCACACCAAACCACUUCUUGCGUGGAAAAGUGACCAAUUUGGACAUGCUUCUGGAUGGUUCCGUGGACUUUGCUGAAACUUUGCGCAAUGUUUACAAGCGGUCACAAUAUAUAGCUAACAAGAUGUGGGAACGCUGGCUGAAAGAAUAUCUGCCCUCGCUAAAUCAUCACACAAAGUGGUUCGACGACCAGAAGCCGCUCGAAGUUUGGUGUUCGUAGUUGAUGGGAAGUUCAGGAAGAACUGGGUACGAGGAAGAGUUCACAAGGUAAUCCAAGGAGCAGAUGGAAGAAUCCGUCAAGCAGACGUUAAGACGGCGGAUGGCAAGGUGCAUCGGCGUGCCGUGGCGAAUCUAGCGGUGUUAGAAAUUCAAAAUUGUAAAUCCGGAUCUUCAGGAUGAGCCACCAGAUGUUACGGUCGGGGGAUUGUUCACACCGCUGGGUAGUUGGAGUCGGUGUAACUGCGGACCCCCCGAUAACUGACAGUUCACCGUGAAGAAGAAUAAAACAAAAACAAAGUGUAUCGAGAUAGUGCAGGAAAUUUGGAAUUUAUACUAAAAUAAUUAAAAGUUCAGUAUAAGGGAAUGAUCGGUUGAAUUUAGGGAAUCUAUUUACGCAAUUUAACCCGUAAGUGAAAAUAGAAUUUCAAUUGAUGAGAGUUUGGACAGCAUAAAAUAACGAACUUGCUCUUGCCUAGUUCGUAUCACACGAGGACUGAGGACCCAAGGCGCAGACAUUACAUCGUAUUGCUUUGUACGGGUAUAAUUUGAAGAAGAAGAGGAAAGGAUCAGAAAGUAUCAAGGAGAAUUCAGGAAGGAUCGAAGUCGUAAGGAAGGAGGAAACUAUUAGAGUGAGUAGAUUUAGUGCAAAUUAUAAAUCUGUAGCAAUUAAGAAAAUAAUGGCAAUAUAUUUUAGUUUUUGAGCUGCUCCGAAUAGCUGCUGCAAAAUAAAUAGUGUACUCGAACAA